rnacentral:rRNA from 1 species
AACGAACGCUGGCGGCAGGCUUAACACAUGCAAGUCGAGCGCCCCGCAAGGGGAGCGGCAGACGGGUGAGUAACGCGUGGGAAACUACCCUUUGGUACGGAACAACUCCGGGAAACUGGAGCUAAUACCGUAUGUGCCCUUCGGGGGAAAGAUUUAUCGCCAUAGGAUGUGCCCGCGUAGGAUUAGCUAGUUGGCGGGGUAAUGGCCCACCAAGGCGACGAUCCUUAGCUGGUCUGAGAGGAUGAUCAGCCACACUGGGACUGAGACACGGCCCAGACUCCUACGGGAGGCAGCAGUGGGGAAUAUUGGACAAUGGGCGCAAGCCUGAUCCAGCCAUGCCGCGUGAGUGAUGAAGGCCUUAGGGUUGUAAAGCUCUUUCGCACGCGACGAUAAUGACGGUAGCGUGAGAAGAAGCCCCGGCUAACUUCGUGCCAGCAGCCGCGGUAAU